UGGGGAAUAUUGGACAAUGGGCGCAAGCCUGAUCCAGCAAUGCCGCGUGAGUGAAGAAGGCCUUAGGGUUGUAAAACUCUUUCACCGGGGAAGAUAAUGACGGUACCGGAGAAGAAGCCCCGGCUAACUCCGUGCCAGCAGCCGCGGUAAUACGGAGGGGGCUAGCGAUGUUCUGAAUUACUGGGCGUAAAGCGCGCGUAGGCGGCUUGGUAAGUUGGAGGUGAAAUCCCGAAGCUCAACUUCGGAACUGCCUUAAAAACUGCUUGGCUAGAGGCAAGGAGAGGAGAGCGGAAUACCCAGUGUAUAGGUGAAAUUCGUAGAUAUUGGGUGUAACACCGGUGGCGAAGGCGGCUCUCUGGCCUUGAUCUGACGCUAAGGCGCGAAAGCGUGGGGCGCAAACAGGAUUAGAUACCCCCGUAGUCC
rnacentral:rRNA from 1 species